CCGUCAGCCAAUCGGGGGCGGAAAGAGAAGUGACCAGGGAAUCAACUUCUUUCCCUGUGAAGGCACGUAUUCCCCCCUCCUGGGACACCGCCUAGAAUGACCCCCUGCCCCUCCGGGCGUGCGCUCGCGUCGAGGAGUGAGCAUCUGGGGGCGGCGAUUUCAUGGUCGCCGUGGCCAGAUGCGCGCGGGCGGUGACCUAGAACAGGACCGAAAGACAUGAACCGCUACCGUUAGCCAGCCCGAAGAGGAGGGGGCGGGGGAACUGAGGCCCGAACGCAGCAGCCGCUGCUCAGGCGAUGGCGCCCCCCAGCUCUGCGCACCCACCCGGGCGCCCGGGUAGUUGCGAGCCCGCUGGCUCCGCCCAGGAGCAGGUCCAGCGUCCGCGCGACGCAGCGGCGGGUUUGCUGGCGGCGGAUUUGCAGGCGGCGCGUCCCGCCAAGCAGCGCAGGGACGCGGCCUGUCGCGCCCCACAGCCUGCAGGGCCCCGGGGGGCGGCCAGACCUGCGGGCGAGUGCCGAGAAUCCGCCUGGCACGGCGGCCUCAGGGUUCCCCAGCACCACCAACCGCACAAAAAGGGAGGAGCCGCGCACCAGGCAAGCCCAGGGCACCGUGGAUCGGGGGAUCGCGAGAGGCUGAAUGUACAAACCGACCAAGGCCAGACCACAUACAAAAAUAGAACACUGAGCGAGCCGCAGCAAACCAGCCCGGGGGAGCCAAACCUCAACUUCUGCAGCAUCAACCCCCAAAGGCCAGAACUCGACAUUUCCUGAGCGCCUGUUGGGUAAGGAACGGCCCGAGGACACGCCCCUAAAGCCCUGCCUCAUAGGGGCUCCACUCCAGCCGAGGAAGAGAGACAGCAAUCAACGCGCAAAUAUAUUAAUAGAAAUGGAGGACAGAGGGUGAUAUAGCAGAAGGGGAUCGAGCGGGGAGGGGAAUUCCUGUAACUCAGGUGACGGAAAGCCUCUCUGAGGGGUAGCUGUGGCCUUCGUCCUCUUUGUUUAGGACGACUCUGGAGAACUAGGGGGCUCUACCCCUCUGCGGGCUGUGCGGCAGCCCCUCUCCCCUCCCCUAGUGCUGGCGGCCAUCUCCCUGCCGCUGUCCAGGACAGCAGUGCUGUGCACGUGGCUUUGCAGCCCCCAUCAGCAGCGUGCUUUGUUCCUGAGGCUCCGGAAGGACAGACGGGAAGCCAGCAUCAACCCACAGGGACAAGGAGAGCAUGUGAGGCUGCAGCCUCCUCUAGAACCGGGUGCUUUUGGGGACCCCAAGGUUGGCUCAGGGCUGUGAGCAGGGGCAAUGCAAGACACAGCAAAAUACCAGCCCGGAUGUGGGUUUGAGGUCUCACUGUCUGUAAGAAAAGGAAUACGGCUCAGCUUUGGAAAGAGAGAGCUGCACCCAGCUCUCUUUGUCACCGUGUGACAUGGGGCCAAUUAUUUAACCUCUUUACUAAGCCUUACUUUCAGCACCUGGAAACUGAGAUGCAAAUAGUAGCCCUCUCACGGGGCUGUCGUGAGGUUUCCAUGAGAUAAUCUAUGUGAAGCCCAGAGCAUAGAGCCUGGCGCCAGAAAACCCCUAAUAACAGGGCCUGUGUUAACCUGGCAUCCAGCAAGCCCAGGGGCUUAAGGGGUGGGCUGUGUUUGUUUCCUACGAGGAAACCGAGGCUGGAGAGCUUAACACGGCCCCAUGAAGACCUGGAGCAGGGCACUGUGGGUCCUUUUCCAGCUCACUUCCCGACCUGUCCAGGGAUCUGUCCUGUUCUGGAUAGCAGCCCCCAAAGAAGGCUCUGGUUCCGCCUCUCCCACCUGCACUCGGCUUUCCAAGUAUUUGUCUAUGCGUGUAUAAAUAUGUAUUUUUUUCUCUUUUUACACAAAUCGUAGCCCCUCUCCAUUUCCACUACCAAUAAUUCUUGGGACUCAUUCCAUAUCCGUACAUACAGAGCUUCCUGAUUCUUCUUUAAGCCCGAGUGAUACCCCACUGUAUGGAUGUUUGCAGUUUAUUUCCCACAGAUUGUCUGGUGCCUCUCCCAGAAGCAUGCCGCCCACUCUGGAGAUCUCUGGAUCACACAUUGUUUCCUGUGAACUGCAGCUUAACUGUGAUGUGAAUUGGUGUGGCCUCUGGGGUUGGUUGUGAAAUGUUUGACUCGUUUCCCCUGAUCGAACACCAGGCAUCUCUGAGCUGUCACCGAAACCAGACCACACCUGCCAGGAAUACGGGAAGCGGGGUGGAGAUGGUGAGGUGCAGGAGGUGCCAGUCUGGGAUGCAGUAGCCCUGGGCCCCCAGCAAUCUGCGGCCCACCGGUAGUGAUAGGCGAUGAUGGUCCCCCCUGUGGUUCAGGACCAGUUUGCAAUCCACUCCACACGGUGAGAAAGCCCGCAGAGGAGCCUGCCUUAGGGACAGGUGGGCAAAGAAAGGGACCCACAGCCAGGCCCCAGGGUGUGCUGCCUGCAGACUUACAGAGAGGCCUUGAGGUCGUUAUCAUGCCAGCCACACCCACUGACAUGGUGCCACUGUCAAGCUUGGGAACCCUGUACCAAUGACUGGGGCAGGUGCCAAGACGUUCUCCACUAAAUGAUGAGAUGUCAGCAGCUCGCUGGGGAAGAGGAUGGACUGAAACCUCCCCAGGCCCCCCACUCUGUCCAAGGAUCAGCAAGGGCCACGGGGCCCCUGAGCAGAGUUGUGGCAUCACGGGAAGCCACAGGCAAGGACGUGCUCGGAGCAGGUGUACCAGUUUCCUCUUGCUGCUGUGACAGUGACCACCAACGUGGUGGCUUAAAACCACGCCAUGGGCUUCCCUGGCGGCGCAGUGGUUGGGAGUACGCCCGCCGAUGCGGGGGACGCGGGUUCGUGCCCCGGUCCGGGAAGAUCCCACGUGCCGUGGAGCGGCUGGGCCCGUGAGCCAUGGCCGCUGAGCCUGCGCGUCCGGAGCCUGUGCUCCGCGGCGGGAGAGGCCACAGCAGUGAGAAGCCCGCGUACCGCAAAAAAAAAACACGAAAAAACAAAAAACCCACACCAUUUCUUCUCUGACAGUAUGGAGUCCAGAGGUCCACAGUCAGAGUCUCAAUGGUCUGAAAUCAAGGUGACGGCAGGGACUGCCUCCCUCCAGAGGCUCGUGGGGAGGAUCUGGCUGCUCGCCUUUUCCAGUCUCCAGAGCUGCAUUCCUUGCGAUCGGGAGCGCAACCACCUGCUUCAGUGCUCUCAUCGUCACCUCCUUUCAUCAAAUCUCCCUCUGCCUCUCUUACAAGGACACUUGUGAUCGUAUCUAGGACCCACCCGGAUAAUCCAGGAUAAUAUUCCUUAAUCUCAAAAACCUUAAUUCCAUUGCAUCUGCAAAGUGUCUUUUGCCAUAUAAGGUAACAUUUGCAGGUUCCAGAGGUUAGGACCUGGAUAUCUUUGGGGGGCAUUAUUCUGCCCACCACAGAGGGCAACGCCAAGCAGACGGGAGGCUUCGAAGACCAGAGGGUGUUGGGGAUGUCCAAGCUCACUUCUCACAGAGGCUGUGAGGCACAGGGGCUGGGACUUCCAGUGACCGCCCCCCACCCAGGUCUCUGCAGUAGCCCAACGGCUGCUUUGCAGAGUAUCUCCAAGUUGGGGAUGGGGAGAGGAAGGAGGGAGCCUGGAUGCAGGACUCACAUCACCCACCCAUGGGCACCACCUGCCAGACCUAUUGCCGCAUUGGUCCAGGAUGAUGGCUGGACAGGUGGCUGCCGAGUCAUCCUCCCUCCAGCCUCCUUCUGGUCCCAAUCCAAGUAUUGUUCUGACGUUUUCGAGGACAGCUUUUGGUCAGAGAAAAGGCUUUUCAGAAAUACUUUGUUUUUUAAGCCCUAAUUCUUCUCUGAGCUUUUAAGUGCAAUGUACAAAUCUUAUUCUAUGAAUAUAUCCAGCCAAUUUUAACAAUCAUUUUUAAGGCGAACUUUGAUUAAUGUUUGUAGCAUUUACCUACUUAGUUAAUUAAACUCCUUUAAACGUUUUACGCUGCAAUCGAAGUGUAUUAUAUUCCAUUUUCUAAGUUUUUCAAUUAUCUGACUAAUAAAUCUUCCCAAGUCCUUAAGUGAUCCUUAUCAAUCAGAUCCAUUAAACUUAUAAUUAUGGUGAUUUUUAAAUAUUCAAAAACUGUUCACCAAAGUAGUAAGACUUCAACUUACAAGCACAGGUCGAAACCAAUGACUCAAGAGCACAUUUAAAAUUAGAAUCACAAGUCUGAUGUUAACACUCAAAUCUGCCCAAUUUGCUUAGACUUUCUAAGUUCUGAAAAUGCCAAAGAUACAAAGUAGAUUUCUGAGCUUAACACAAAAAGAUAAAUGCUAUAGUUUUGAUUUACUUCAUCAUCACUAUACUCAAUUCUAACUUUCCCUGGGUUAAAAGUGUUCCCCAAACCGAUUUGGGGUUUUCUUCUCAAGCACAUCCUUCUCAGCUGGAUGUGGGUUCUCAACCUGCAGAUGUGGGGUGAGUCAAUUCUUUUUUUAAAAAAUAAAUUUAUUUAUUUUUGGC